UACAGAGAGUGCGAACGUUGUUCGGAAUUACUGGGCUUAAAGCGCACGUAGGCGGCGCCGCAAGUGUGGAGUGAAAUCCCACGGCUUACCCGUGGAACUGCUUGGCAGACUGCGGUGCUAGAGGAUGGUAGGGGAGAGCGGAACUCCUGGUGGAGCGGUGACAUGCGUAGAUAUCAGGAGGAACACCGGUGGCGAAGGCGGCUCUCUGGUCCAUUACUGACGCUGAGGUGCGAAAGCUAGGGGAGCAAACGGG
rnacentral:rRNA from 1 species